rnacentral:tRNA from 1 species
GCGCUCGUAGUUUAGUAGUAGAAUUGCCGCCUCCCACGCGGUAGACCCGGGUGCAAACCCCGGCGGGCGCA